rnacentral:rRNA from 1 species
AGAUUAAGUUAUUAAGGGCGCACGGUGGAUGCCUUGGCACUAGAAGCCGAUGAAGGACGUUACUAACGACGAUAUGCUUUGGGGAGCUGUAAGUAAGCUUUGAUCCAGAGAUUUCCGAAUGGGGGAACCCAGCACGAGUUAUGUCGUGUUAUCCGCAUAUGAAUUCAUAGUAUGUGAGAAGGUAGACCCGGAGAACUGAAACAUCUUAGUACCCGGAGGAAGAGAAAGAAAAAUCGAUUCCCUGAGUAGCGGCGAGCGAAACGGGAAGAGCCCAAACCAACAAGCUUGCUUGUUGGGGUUGUAGGACACUCUAUACGGAGUUACAAAAGUAUUUGUUAGACGAAUAACCUGGAAAGGUUAAUCAGAGAAGGUAAUAAUCCUGUAGUCGAAAACGAAUACCCUCUUGAGUGGAUCCUGAGUACGACGGAGCACGUGAAAUUCCGUCGGAAUCUGGGAGGACCAUCUCCUAAGGCUAAAUACUCUCUAGUGACCGAUAGUGAACCAGUACCGUGAGGGAAAGGUGAAAAGUACCCCGGAAGGGGAGUGAAAGAGAACUUGAAACCGUGUGCUUACAAGUAGUCAGAGCCCGUUAAUGGGUGAUGGCGUGCCUUUUGUAGAAUGAACCGGCGAGUUACGAUCUGAUGCAAGGUUAAGCAGAAAAUGUGGAGCCGUAGCGAAAGCGAGUCUGAAUAGGGCGAAUGAGUAUUUGGUCGUAGACCCGAAACCAGGUGAUCUACCCUUGGUCAGGUUGAAGUUCAGGUAACACUGAAUGGAGGACCGAACCGACUUACGUUGAAAAGUGAGCGGAUGAACUGAGGGUAGCGGAGAAAUUCCAAUCGAACUUGGAGAUAGCUGGUUCUCUCCGAAAUAGCUUUAGGGCUAGCCUCAAGUGAUGAUUAUUGGAGGUAGAGCACUGUUUGGACGAGGGGCCCCUCUCGGGUUACCGAAUUCAGACAAACUCCGAAUGCCAAAUAAUUUAACUUGGGAGUCAGAACGUGGGUGAUAAGGUCCAUGUUCGAAAGGGAAACAGCCCAGACCACCAGCUAAGGUCCCAAAAUAUAUGUUAAGUGGAAAAGGAUGUGGCGUUGCCCAGACAACUAGGAUGUUGGCUUAGAAGCAGCCAUCAUUUAAAGAGUGCGUAAUAGCUCACUAGUCGAGUGACACUGCGCCGAAAAUGUACCGGGGCUAAACAUAUUACCGAAGCUGUGGAUUGUCCGUAGGACAAUGGUAGGAGAGCGUUCUAAGGGCGUUGAAGCAUGAUCGCAAGGACAUGUGGAGCGCUUAGAAGUGAGAAUGCCGGUGUGAGUAGCGAAAGACGGGUGAGAAUCC